rnacentral:rRNA from 1 species
GCCAGGGAACUACGAGCGAAGCUUAAAACCCAAAGGACUUGACGGUGCCCAUAUCCCACUAGAGGAGCCUGUCCUUAAUCGAUGAUCCCCGUUUAACCUCACCACUUCUAGCCCAUCAGCCUGUAUAUUUCCGUCGUAAAUUAACCACAUGAGUGAAACUCAGUUAGUGCAAAGACUUACAAAAAGACCCCCGUCAACACGUCAGGUCAAAAUGCAGUUAAUGAAGUGGGAAAAGAUUGGCUACACUUUUUAUUAUAAAAGAAAACGAAAGACAAUAAUGAAACUUUGUCAGAAGGUGGAUUUAGCAGUAAAAAGAGUUCAUUACACUCAUUUGAAUCUGGCACUGGAGCGUGU